AACAGGAAACGCAUCACAUCCAGGAAGUGAGAUCCAUCUCACCUGUGACUGGCACCAAACAUUUCGAUCUGCUCACCAACGUGUUCCUGAAGCUUCUGAGACUCGAGUUGUUUCUGGUUCACAAAAGAAGUUGUAAUAUGUUGGUGUGAAGUUUACGAGCUUCUCUCUUUGGUCGAACAUUCAUUCAGCAGCAGUUUCACCUGAUGGAGAUUUUAAAACGUUCAACGAGCCUGAGGUUCUGGGAGGGUGAGCCGGUUCACCUGAAUCUCCACCUGCACCACAGUGAAAAACUCCCCUCGUCUCCAUCUGCUCACCAGUCCACCCCUGGAACGCUUCUCUGGCCCCGUCGAGCUCUUGGCCUCGUCCCACCCGACUGAAGAUCAGCCAGAUAACGUUAUCUCCCGACCAAUCGGACGCCUGGAUCCAUACCUCAUCCCUCAG